GAUGAACGCUGGCGGCGUGCUUAACACAUGCAAGUCGAACGAUGAAGCCCAGCUUGCCGGGUGGAUUAGUGGCGAACGGGUGAGUAACACGUGAGUAACCUGCCCUUAACUCUGGGAUAAGCCUGGGAAACUGGGUCUAAUACCGGAUAGGAGCGUCCACCGCAUGGUGGGUGUUGGAAAGAUUUAUCGGUUUUGGAUGGACUCGCGGCCUAUCAGCUUGUUGGUGAGGUAAUGGCUCACCAAGGCGUCGACGGGUAGCCGGCCUGAGAGGGUGACCGGCCACACUGGGACUGAGACACGGCCCAGACUCCUACGGGAGGCAGCAGUGGGGAAUAUUGCACAAUGGGCGCAAGCCUGAUGCAGCGACGCCGCGUGAGGGAUGACGGCCUUCGGGUUGUAAACCUCUUUCAGUAGGGAAGAAGCGAAAGUGACGGUACCUGCAGAAGAAGCACCGGCUAACUACGUG
rnacentral:rRNA from 1 species